UACGUAGGGGGCAGGCGUUGUCCGGAUUUAUUGGGCGUAAAGAGCGUGUAGGCGGCCAGGGAGGUCCGUUGUGAAAACUCGAGGCUCAACCUCGAGACGCCGAUGGAAACCCCCUGGCUAGAGUCCGGAAGAGGAGAGUGGAAUUCCUGGUGUAGCGGUGAAAUGCGCAGAUAUCAGGAAGAGCACCUAUGGCGAAAGCAGCUCUCUGGGACGGUACUGACGCUGAGACGCGAAAGCGUGGGGAGCGAACAGG
rnacentral:rRNA from 1 species